UACGUAGGGGGCAAGCGUUGUCCGGAUUUAUUGGGCGUAAAGAGCGUGUAGGCGGCUUUACAGGUCCGUUGUGAAAACUCGAGGCUCAACCUCGAGACGCCGGUGGAAACCGCGCGGCUAGAGUCCGGAAGAGGAGAGUGGAAUUCCUGGUGUAGCGGUGAAAUGCGCAGAUAUCAGGAAGAACACCAAUGGCGAAGGCAGCUCUCUGGGACGGUACUGACGCUGAGACGCGAAAGCGUGGGGAGCGAACAGG
rnacentral:rRNA from 1 species